AUUAGCCAUCUAACCCGAAAAUAUUGAUUUAGGCUCACCUGAAGAGUAGUUGGAAGGCUAGAGCGGAGCCAAUCACGGUACCGGGUAGAAUCCAAACGAGUUUGGUCACUCGGGGCUCGUUAGUCUCGCCUAGACCGGCAUUCUGCUGUUGUGCGCUGGUUAGGAGAUUGUCAGGUCUAAAAACCCACCGUUCAACGUGGGUUUUUGUCUGGGAGCGCCCAGCGCCGCUGAACCGAGCUGAAAGCUGUCGAGAGUCCUCGGAAACAGCGUGGUGUGCGCCGUACGUUGUCUGGA